UUCUUCUGUGCCUGCUCGUCGC
rnacentral:piRNA from 1 species